rnacentral:rRNA from 1 species
AUUGAACGCUGGCGGCAGGCCUAACACAUGCAAGUCGAGCGAGCGGCGGACGGGUGAGUAAUGUAUGGGGACUGCCCGAUAGAGGGGGAUAACUACUGGAAACGGUAGCUAAUACCGCAUACUAUCGGAUAACCCAUAUGGGAUUAGCUAGUUGGUGGGGUAAAGGCUCACCAAGGCAACGAUCCGUAGCUGGUUUGAGAGGACGACCAGCCACACUGGGACUGCGACACGGCCCAGACUCCUCCGGAGGCAGCAGUGGGGAAUUUUGGACAAGGGGUGAAACCCGGAUACAGCCAUCCCGCUUGUAUGAUGAAGGCCUUCGGGGUGUAAAGUACUUUUGGCAGAGAAGCGGUAUCUGCAGAAUAAGCACCGGCUAACUACGUGCCAGCAGCCGCGGUAAUAC